rnacentral:lncRNA from 1 species
CUACCUGCUCGGCUUCCUCCGUCUUUGGUGGUUCAGAAGAAGUCGCGACUGCCACAAUUGUUUCCUGAAUCGCUUCGAUCUUCUUCGCUCCGUCUUCGUCUACGCAGGUUUCAGCUUUCUCGACUACUUCAGUCACCUCCUUCACCGGUUCCGGUACCUCGGCUGCUGGUGCUAGUGGAGCCGGGGUGAUCUUCUCUUCUUCUUUGCACUCGGCCGCAGGUUCCGAUGUCUCCGCGGUCGGUGGAACGGCCUUCUCUUCCUUACUCUCAACCACAACCGUCUCCGGCUCUGGUGUAGAUUCUUCCUUCGCAGCCGUCUCAUCACAAGCCUUAGCUUCUUCUUCAACGGCCUUCGCAGCUUUCUCCUCUGCCGGCUUCUCCUCCUUAACAGGUGCCGGAGGAGCGGUAAACUCAUGCUUGUUAAGCGCCUCCUGAACCAACUGUUUCAGUUCAUCCAACGCCUUCUUCUGUGGAUCAGGAAGCUCACCGGCAACAUUAGAUUCCUCCUUGAACGAAGCCGAUUCAGUAAUCUUCUCCUUCUCCUCUUCCACAACUUUCACAGGCUCCUCGACCACAGCCUCAGGUUCCGGUGGCCCAUCUUUCUCAUAAACGACAGUUGCUUCAGCCUUCUCCGCCUCUGGAACAACAGCAACUUCAGCAGCCGCUACCGGAGCCUCCGAUGCUGCCGCCGCCGUCUUCAAAAUCUCUUCCGCCAUGUAUAACAACAACUA